rnacentral:lncRNA from 10 species
UAGCUUGCUUUUGAUUUUACAGGCUCAUAGGCGAAGAGAUUUGUCUUGUCUUGGAUGAGACUUUAGACUGUGGACUUUUGAGUUAAUGCUGAAAUGAGUUAAGACUUUGGGGGACUGUUGGGAAUGCAUGAUUGGUUUUGAAAUGUGAGGUCAUGAGAUCUGGGAGAACCCAAGGGCCGAAUGAUACGGCUUGGCUGUGUCUCCAUCCAAAUCUCAUCUUGAACUCCCACCUGUUGUGGGAGAGACCUGGUGGGACAUGACUGAAUUAUGGGGGCGGGUCUUUCCUGCACUGUUCUUGUAAUUGGGAAUGAGUCUCACAAGCUCUGAUGGAUUUUUUUUUAGAUGGGAGUUUACCUGCACAAAACUCUUUUUUUGCCUGCUACCAUCCACGUUAGAUAUGACUUGCUCCUCCUUGCCUUCCAUCAUGAUUGUGAGGCCUGCCCAGACAUGUGGAACUCUGAUAUAAGUCUUUUGAGGUACAGCCUGGCACAAAAAGGAUGAGAUUUGUGGGCAGAAUUUUGGAAGAAUAUCUCCCGAGAGAACAUUCAGGACAGAGCCCUACAUCUCCCCGAGAAGAGGUGAAAGAGACUGCUCCUAUCUGCUUCUGCAUCAAACUUCAGGCUCAAGACCUGUCCAGAAAAAAAAAUGUCUUCUUUCAGGGAUGAACUGCUGUCCUCAUCAGACGCCUUAUUUUGUUUAGAAUUCAAGCUCACUUGACAGGUUAUUGUGAAGAUUAAAUGAAUUAAUACAUGUGAAGCAACUGUAACAACUCUUGACAUGCGUGGGCUGGACUUCCAGAAGAAACGUUGUCAGAACUCUGCCCAACUGAAAACAAGCCUACUAAAAAUAAAUAAAUAAAUAAAAUUUUAAAAAAUUGAUUAAUUAAAA